rnacentral:rRNA from 1 species
AGUGAACGCUGGCGGUAGGCCUAACACAUGCAAGUCGAACGGCAGCACAGUAAGAGCUUGCUCUUACGGGUGGCGAGUGGCGGACGGGUGAAGAAUACAUCGGAAUCUACUUUUUCGUGGGGGAUAACGUAGGGAAACUUACGCUAAUACCGCAUACGACCUACGGGUGAAAGCAGGGGAUCUUCGGACCUUGCGCGAUUGAAUGAGCCGAUGUCGGAUUAGCUAGUUGGCGGGGUAAAGGCCCACCAAGGCGACGAUCCGUAGCUGGUCUGAGAGGAUGAUCAGCCACACUGGAACUGAGACACGGUCCAGACUCCUACGGGAGGCAGCAGUGGGGAAUAUUGGACAAUGGGCGCAAGCCUGAUCCAGCCAUGCCGCGUGGGUGAAGAAGGCCUUCGGGUUGUAAAGCCCUUUUGUUGGGAAAGAAAAGCAGCAGGUUAAUACCCCGCUGUUCUGACGGUACCCAAAGAAUAAGCACCGGCUAACUUCGUG